rnacentral:lncRNA from 1 species
AGGGUGAUUAUUAUUCCACUGACUGGAGUCCUCCUUCAAAAACGAGUGAAGGUACAGGUUUAUUUCUUCCAUAUAAUUUUAAUUUGAUAUUGGUAUUUUAUUAUUUAAUCAUAAUAAUAUAAAUAAAAAUGAAUAAAAAGGAGUAUGAAUUUACAGUGACAGUAUUUUGUCACAAGUUUUAUUAAAUACACGCCAGGUAUAAUAUUGCUUUUCCAACUUUAUUUUAUAUCAGACAUGUUGUAAAUUAUUUAAUACAUGAUGAUCUUCUUAAUCAUACAUCAAACUCAUUAAUACUUCAUGAGUAAAUUAGCCAGCCAUAUUACUUUAUUUUGCUUACAUGAUAAUUCUGGAUACCUGAUGCAACAUAUUGAUCCAAUCUUAUGACUGGAUCGAAAUUAAUUCAGUCCUUGGACUGGAUGAAAAUGAAUUCACCUCACUUUAAGUAGUAUUAUAUUUCAAGUCUACGCAAUUUGCGAGUACGAGGCGAAGCCAAUCAGGACUGGAUCAAAAUGCGAGGACUUGAAAUCUAGUCCAGUCCGAAUUGGAGGAUUUUAAAUAUUACUUCAAAUUUUAGGUCAAGUUACAGAUCAAGUUCCAACUGACGUUCCAGGCAAUGAUGGUGGUUCAAAAAACUAUCUUAUUGGAAUGGCAGUUGCAAUUUUGGUGGUUAUUUUAGUUGUUAUUAUCGCUUUCUAUAUUAACUGUAAAAAUCGUCGAUGCAAAUCAUCAAGAACCGAAGCAAAGGUGGAGAAGACAAAUGAUGUAAGUAAUCCACAAUAUAUUUAUGAUGAUGACGGCAAUUAUGAACAAGUAGACGAUGAACAGUCGACGUAUACAGCUCUCAAUAAGCCUGGGGAAGUAAUCGAUGAUCAUUUAUAUGCUCAUUUAAAUGAGGUAACACAAAAUAUGUACGCGGGUCAGAAGGAAACUGGAUUCUAAUGUCUUAUCAAUGCAUAGUUAAUCAAGAUAUGGUCUGCAAUAAAUUUCAAAGUGUCUACAGUGAACUAGGAUUUUAUGUUGGAAACACAGCUUCACUAUAAAUAAAUCUUCUCAACAUUUGCUUGUUAAUAUUUCCACUGUACGCUUGAGUGUGCCAUUGGAUGAUUGCUUCAUUGUUAUGCCAAAAAAUCAAUGUCUCGACCGUGCACAAAUUUACACAGAAAUAAACAAAAAAUGAAACAAAUUUAAAACUCUCUCCAGAUCAUAUCUUCAUUGACUAUGGUUUAGACAAAACGGCUUGUCCUUCCUUCUGUGACUUUGCUCAGCAAUUCCGCGCGAUGAAAUGUAGAUGAAUCAAUUUUGUAAUAAUAAUACAAUAAUGUAGCAGAUGUAAUUGAUACUAAUAACUAAUUGGUGUAUUCCAAUCAAGGACUUGGGAUUAAUUAGCUAAGGACUGUGCGUAAUAAUUAAGCAGAUAUAAUUGAUACUAAUAACUAAUUGAUAUAUUCUAAUUAAAGACUUGGAAUUAAUUAGCCAAGGACCGUGCGUAAUAAUUAAGCAGACAUAAUUGAUGCUAAUAACUAAUUGAUAUAUUCUAAUUAAGGACUUGGAAUUAAUUAGCCAAGGACCGUGCGUAAUAAUUAAGCAGACGUAAUUGAUACUAAUAACUAAUUGAUAUAUUCUAAUUAAGGACUUAAUUAGUCAAAGGCCAUGCGCAAUA